AUUCCGGUUGAUCCUGCGGGAGAUUGCUGCUAUUAGGAUUCGACUAAGCCAUGCAAGUGUUCUAGCAAUAGACGCGAAAGGCUCAGUAACACGUCGUUAAUCUGCCCUAAGAUCAGGGAUACCUACGGGAAACUGUGGUUAAUACCUGAUAAGGAAUAUAUACUGGAAUGUUUUAUUCCCCAAAUUCGAGUCUUAGGAUGAGACGGCGGCCGAUUAGGCAGUUGGCGGUGUAACGGACCACCAAACCUAUGAUCGGUACGGGCCAUGAGAGUGGUAGCCCGGAGAGGGACACUGAGAUACUGGUCCCAGCCCUACGGGGUGCAGCAGGCGCGAAACCUCUACAAUGCACGCAAGUGUGAUAGGGGGAUCCUAAGUGCUCAAGCACUGCUUGGGCUUUUGCCAAGUGUAAAUAGCUUGGCGAAUAAGUGGUGGGAAAGACCUGUGCCAGCCGCCGCGGUAACACCUGCGCCACAAGUGGCAACCAUUAUUAUUGGGCCUAAAGCGUCCGUAGCCAGUCAUUUUAAUCUCUUGUGAAAUUGCCAGGCUUAGCUUGGCAACCUGCAGGAAAGACUGUAUGACUAGGGACCGGGAGGCGUCAGAGGUAUUCUGGAGGGAGCGGUAAAAUGCUAUAAUCUCCGGAGGACCCCCUGUGGCGAAGGCGUCUGACGAGAACGGAUCCGACGGUGAGGGACGAAAGCUAGGGGAGCGAACCGGAUUAGAUACCCGAGUAGUCCUGGCUGUAAACUCUGCGAGCUAGGUGUUGCAUAUUCUCCGGGAAUGUGCAGUGUCGAAGCGAAGGUGUUAAGCUCGCCGCCUGGGAAGUAUGGUCGCAAGACUGAAACUUAAAGGAAUUGGCGGGGGAGCACUACAAGGGGUGCGGCGUGCGGUUUAAUCUAAUUCAACACAGAGAAUCUCACCAGAAGCGACGGCAGGAUGAAGGUCAGGUUAAAGGGCUUACCUAACGAGCCGAGAGGUAGUGCAUGGCCGUCGUCAGCUCGUGCCGUAAGGUGUCCAGCUAAGUCUGGUAACGAGCGAGACCUGUACCCACAAUUGCUAACGGCACUUCGGUGGACCGGGCACAUUGGACGGACUGCCCUUGAAAAGGGGAGGAAGGUGUAGGCUACGGUAGGUCUGUAUGCUCCGAAUCUUCUGGGCUACACGCGCGCAACAAUGGCAGAAACAAAGGGAUGCAACUCCGAAAGGAGAAGCCAAUCCUCCAAAUUCUGUCUUAGUUCAGAUCGAGGUUUGUAACUCAGCCUCAUAACGACGGAAUCCCUAGUAAUCGGACGUCAUCAUCGCCCGGUGA
rnacentral:rRNA from 1 species